AACGCAAAUUGCGCUCGAGGCCUCGGCCAAGAGCAUGUCUGCCUCAGCGUCGGGUUAAGACUCAUCGCAUCCAUCCAUGUGGUGGUUGUACGGUGGAACUGGCUGUCCUGCCGAUCUUCGUACAUGUACAAGAGAAGCGGGGCAGCUGAAUCGAAGCUGUUGCUGAUGGACCCUACUAUGGGCCUCUACUGGGUAGGGCACUCGUUUGCUGUGAUGCUUUAGUAGAUGGCUGUGGUACUGUGAGAAGCACAAACCAAGAAUAUGCUCGUCAUGGGCGUAACCCCUCCUUUUUUCGACCUGAGCGCAGGCAAGAUUACCCGCUGAACUUAA
rnacentral:misc_RNA from 1 species